UACGUAGGAGGCAAGCGUUGUCCGGAAUUACUGGGCGUAAAGCGCGUGUAGGUGGUGGGACAAGUCUGCUGUGAAAUCCCCAGGCUUAACCUGGGAAGUGCGCGCGAAACUGACGAGCUUGAGUGCCGGAGAGGGUCGCGGAAUUCCCGGUGUAGAGGUGAAAUUCGUAGAUAUCGGGAGGAACACCAGUGGCGAAGGCGGCGACCUGGACGGACACUGACGCUGAGACGCGAAAGCGUGGGGAGCAAACAGG
rnacentral:rRNA from 1 species